rnacentral:rRNA from 1 species
AUCGAUGAAGAACGCAGCGAAAUGCGAUAAGUAAUGUGAAUUGCAGAAUUCAGUGAAUCAUCGAAUCUUUGAACGCACAUUGCGCCCUCUGGUAUUCCGGAGGGCAUGCCUGUUCGAGCGUCAUAAUGACCAACUCACCCUCGUGGUGGACUUGGAGCUGGCCGGCCUGGCCUCUCUUAAAACCAGUGGCGGUGCUCUUAAGCUCUACGCGUAGUAAUUUCUCUCGCGACAGGGUCUUGAUGGUACUUGCCAACAACCCCAACUCUUAUAAGGUUGACCUCGGAUCAGGUAGGGAUACCCGCUGAACUUAAGCAUAUCAAUAAGCGGAGGAAAAGAAACCAACAGGGAUUACCUCAGUAACGGCGAGUGAAGCGGUAACAGCUCAAAUUUGAAAUCUGGCUCUUUCAGGGUCCGAGUUGUAAUUUGUAGAAGAUGCUUUGGGCAUUGCUCCGGUCUAAGUUCCUUGGAACAGGACGUCAUAGAGGGUGAGAAUCCCGUAUGUGACUGGUGGCAUUUGUCCGUGUAAAGCUCUUUCGACGAGUCGAGUUGUUUGGGAAUGCAGCUCAAAAUGGGUGGUAUAUUUCAUCUAAAGCUAAAUAUUGGCCAGAGACCGAUAGCGCACAAGUAGAGUGAUCGAAAGAUGAAAAGCACUUUGGAAAGAGAGUUAAACAGUACGUGAAAUUGUUGAAAGGGAAGCGCUUGCAACCAGACUUGCAGGUCGUUGAUCAUCCGGGGUUCUCCCCGGUGCACUCGGCGGCUUUCAGGCCAGCAUCGGUUUGAGUGGUGGGAUAAAGGCCUUGGGAAUGUGGCUCCUCUCGGGGAGUGUUAUAGCCCAAGGUGCAAUGCCGCCUAUUCGGACCGAGGACCGCGCUUCGGCUAGGAUGCUGGCGUAAUGGUUGUAAGCGACCCGUCUUGAAACACGG